rnacentral:piRNA from 1 species
UGAAAUCUGAAAGAUGGAUAUUUUACUUUGC